CAAAACUUCUGCAGAAAAAAACAAGUUGCAAGGAAAUUUUUUAUUAUUAUUACUUUUUCUAAAAAUAUGGAAAGAAGAAAAUCGUGAAUAAUUUGUUUUGGUGGGUUUUAGAUAAAUUGGGUGUGGCAAUAAAAAAUUGAAAAAUUGUCCCAUAAGGAAAAUAAAUAAA